rnacentral:rRNA from 1 species
GACGAACGCUGGCGGCGUGCUUAACACAUGCAAGUCGAACGGAAAGGCCCUGCUUUUGUGGGGUGCUCGAGUGGCGAACGGGUGAGUAACACGUGAGUAACCUGCCCUUGACUUUGGGAUAACUUCAGGAAACUGGGGCUAAUACCGGAUAGGAGCUCCUGCUGCAUGGUGGGGGUUGGAAAGUUUCGGCGGUUGGGGAUGGACUCGCGGCUUAUCAGCUUGUUGGUGGGGUAGUGGCUUACCAAGGCUUUGACGGGUAGCCGGCCUGAGAGGGUGACCGGCCACACUGGAACUGGGACACGGGCCAGACUACUACGGGAGGCAGCAGGGGGGAAGCUUGGACAAUGGGCGCAAGGCUGAUCCAGCCAUACCGCGGGGGUGAAGAAGGCCGUCGGGUUGUAAAGCCCGUUUGUUGGGAAAGAAAAGCAGCAGGUUAAUACCCCGCUGUUCUGACGGUACCCAAAGAAUAAGCACCGGCUAACUUCGUG